CGGAACCUAGCCACUGCACUAUGGAACUAGCCCAAGCACAGAAUCUUAAAAGGAGCAGCCCCGAGCAGACUGAGACAGAUGGCAUAUCACAGAUGAAAGUGACCAGUACAAAACCUGGCACAUGGCAUGCUCUCCUUUCUCCGCACUGGCUGUAAAGAGGUUGUGUUGGCCUACGUGCAUCAGUUUAGAAUGCUCCCCUCCAGGUCCUGCUUUGUAGCAGAGCAGUGAGGUGUUGCUCAGGAGAAGGUGGAUUCCACACGGCGUCAGUGGUUCUAUCCUUAGCUUGAUCCAUCUGAAACGUGCAAGGAAUACCGGCAAAACCUGAAGGUCGGAGAGGUGAAGUGAAGAGCCGAGGUCACUGCCACAAGUUCCACCACCACUUGAAGAAGCUUCCAGGUCACUAUCCUGGAUAGAGCAGUGACUUCCUGGAGGCCACAGGACAGCCACCUCCUCCUCAUGUUUCUCAUCUCCUGUGAACUCACUGAAAUGAAAGACGCCGCAGCUUAUGUGCAAUGGGGUAACACCGUAAACCGAUGUCGUAGUAUGAAAAGGCUUAUCAGGAAUAUGAUUGCUGAGUAAUUCCUCCCAUUAUGUUAAAGAUGAGAGAGAGAGACAUAUCCGUUAAAUGAAGAGAGAUUUUGUUUCACCCUUUAUGUAUAAUGAUUUUUAGUCUGCAGUAGUCAAAUAAAAAAAAGUAAUAAAAGACCUGAAAUGCUACCAACUUGGGCCCUUUGGGCACAGAGAUGUGCCUUUAAGUAAAUGUGUCACAGAAAACAGAAAGUGGUUUUCAAUCGAGUGCUUUGCCACCAAGACAGGUGCAGGGCUUCUUCGAGUGUGCUUCGAUGCCACUGUCGCAUACUCUGCGUACCAGGCAGCAGGAGUGGAGGGUGGUUCCUUAAAGACUGGCCAAAGUGGAGUGCUCACAGGUCAGAGCCCAGCCUGCAGUGAUUAACAAAGUGCCUUGGGCUUAGCCUUUCACUUCAUUUUCUGCAUUUGAUGCCAAUGUUUGCUUCCAAUUCAUUCUCUUCCCCUCCUCCAUAACCGGAACCUGCCUUCUGGCUCAGUCAGAGACCUUCCAAUUUUCUACUUUCAUCACCAAGUUUCUGACGUGUCUGUCCUUCUGGAGUGACUUGCUUUACUAUCUCUGGUAUCAUCCUAUGAUCCCUCAGGCUCUUGCUGCUGUAUGUCCUGUCUCCUGGGAUAUUCGAGAGUUAUGUGACUGAGUCAUCCCAUCUGCCUGCUCCUUGCUCCUGUGUGGACCCUGCAGAUUAGUGGUUACCAUUUAUUACCUUCUGCAGUGAGAUCAUGGGGAGGGGUUCAGUAGCACUGCAUUCCAGCUCCACA